rnacentral:rRNA from 1 species
GACGAACGCUGGCGGCGUGCUUAACACAUGCGAGUCGAACGGAAAGGCCCUGCUUUUGUGGGGUGCUCGAGUGGCGAACGGGUGAGUAACACGUGAGUAACCUGCCCUUGACUUUGGGAUAACUUCAGGAAACUGGGGCUAAUACCGGAUAGGAGCUCCUGCUGCAUGGUGGGGGUUGGAAAGUUUCGGCGGUUGGGGAUGGACUCGCGGCUUAUCAGCUUGUUGGUGGGGUAGUGGCUUACAAAGGCUUUGACGGGUAGCCGGCCUGGGAGGGUGACCGGCCACAUUGGGACUGAGAUACGGCCCAGACUCCUACGGGAGGCAGCAGUGGGGAAUAUUGCACAAUGGGCGGAAGCCUGAUGCAGCAACGCCGCGUGCGGGAUGACGGCCUUCGGGUUGUAAACCGCUUUCGCCUGUGACGAAGCGUGAGUGACGGUAAUGGGUAAAGAAGCACCGGCUAACUACGUG